AGUGACAACCAAUCACGUUUAACGUUUCUUUGGAACUUUUAAAUGCUGAAAUUUCAUUGGCCGAGCACCCAAAACCCAAUGCGCAGAAGAACGACGCCGAGAACGUGGCGUCCUUCGUUCGGCGGCAAUCGGAGAGAGCAGACGUGCGUGUCGAUCGGUGAUCCGGCAAUUAAUAGGAUAUGACGCCAUGAGUCUGCGUAACGUUCACCAACGGCCAUUUUCCGUUCAAAUGACUUGUACUGUACGUGUAAAAUUUCCAUCGAAAUUUCUGGACACCAUAACGCCAGAAAAAUUGUGCAGCUUACCGGGGAAAGCAGAAUAAUAGGUUUUAUACGUCAUCCAGUAAAAGUUCUUCGAUGUUCGACGCAGGUAAAGCAGAACUACUCCGAAGUUCAACGUGGGUAAUGCAGAGGUACUCCAAUGUCGACGUGGGUCAUGCAGAGCUAUUCCGAUGAUUAGCGACAGCAGAGCCACUACGUAACCCUGUAUCAAAACAACGGUUGGUGACUGAACCAAAUUGUCAAUGGACUAUUUGACAAUAAAAACACUGCUAUGAAGUA